ACUCGGUGCUUGCCUGGAAGUUUAGGGGUCUAAAAAGAAGUUUUCUUCCCACGCAGUGAACAGUGGGCACUAAUGUUUUUGUCACUUUUUAUGGAAUCAAACUCAAAGUAAGGGUCUGGAAUCUCUGAAUUGCCAUGCUUUCAUCUUGACCACCAGGUGGGCCAAGAGUUAUGUUCCCUUAAGCCCAGGAUAUGUGGAGAAGUAACAAAAGUGUCUUGAAAAGGAGACAGUGAGACACAAUGACGAGCAAAAACAAAAGGUUUUUAUUAAUGAUUAAUCUUAAAGUAAGUGCCAGGCUGCUACUACUAACACAAGAACAAACACAGCAGAGGCUGGUCAACAAAGCAAUUCAUAGAUUCUCCUCAGAGAAAGCCUAAGUGGUCACAAACACACAGAUCACAUGAAGCAAAGUCAAAAGGCACUUUGGCACUGGCAGUGUCUUCUGCAUCAAUUUGAGCCAAAGCUAAGUGCUGACUGGACAGCUCCUCACAUUACAUUGCCUCCAUAGGAAAGAUGUGGUUUCUAAGACAGGGCAGAGAGAGCACUAAACUAAACUAAACUAAACUAAACUAAAACAGUACUUUAGCCAUAUAAACUACUACUUUUAUUGCCUAAAACUGAGUACUUUUUCAUCUAAGCUGAGUACUUGUACAAUGAAUAUUUUUAUCUAGUUUUCAAACUAACCAAGUACAUAACUGGUCUCUUCUGCUUAGAAGUCAUGCUCGGUGCCAAGCACUGUGACAUUGUCAUAGUCUUCAUAUAAUUCAUCACCUCCUCCAUCGCACUUGGUCAUCUCCAUGGAGACAUCUGGUUUGUUUGCCGUCUUUCUGCUCCAGUAGAUAGACAGAAGCAGACCAGUAGAAAAGCAGUAAGGACUGAAGACCACUAGAUGGCGGAAGAGUCUCAG
ensembl:lncRNA